rnacentral:rRNA from 1 species
CCUACGGGGGGCAGCAGUGGGGAAUAUUGCACAAUGGGCGCAAGCCUGAUGCAGCCAUGCCGCGUGUGUGAAGAAGGCCUUCGGGUUGUAAAGCACUUUCAGCGGGGAGGAAGGCGUUAAGGUUAAUAACCUUGUCGAUUGACGUUACCCGCAGAAGAAGCACCGGCUAACUCCGUGCCAGCAGCCGCGGUAAUACGGAGGGUGCAAGCGUUAAUCGGAAUUACUGGGCGUAAAGCGCACGCAGGCGGUCUGUCAAGUCGGAUGUGAAGUCCCCGGGCUCAACCUGGGAACUGCAUUCGAAACUGGCAGGCUAGAGUCUUGUAGAGGGGGGUAGAAUUCCAGGUGUAGCGGUGAAAUGCGUAGAGAUCUGGAGGAAUACCGGUGGCGAAGGCGGCCCCCUGGACAAAGACUGACGCUCAGGUGCGAAAGCGUGGGGAGCAAACAGGAUUAGAUACCCCUGUAGUC